CUGGACUGAAUGGUGUGUACAUAUUUAAAAAGCCUUUUCUUAUUUCUGAUUAAUUUCUUUAUUUUCAGAAACUCUGGGACCUCUGGAUCAUGGGGAAACAUGAUCCCAUGGCGUUGACAAGAGCGCUCUGGUGGAGAAACAACUUCUUUGGCUUUAGGGGAAGAGACGAGCACCGGAAGCUGCGAUGGGGCGACAUCACUAUUUGUGAAGAAGUGGAUGGUUCCAGGUACCUUAUGUUCGAAGAACGGGACACAAGGCAAGGAAGAAUCCAGGCAAUAUGAGAUUAGUCAAUCCUCGACUGUAUGGGACUAAAGACAAGCCUGAAACGUGCCCUGUUAACCUUCUUAUUGAGUUUACUCAUAGGAGACCACUAGAGAUGUGCCAGCCGGAAGCACCUUUCUACCUACAGGUUCAUCCAUCGUGGGACAGGGAAGUGAAUGGGCAACCAACUCAAGUGUGGUUUAAAAACCAGCCAUUGGGAGAACACAGCCUUGGCAAUAUGAUGAAACAGAUGGCUCAUCAGGCUGAACUACCUGGGCACAAAACCAAUCAUUCAGAUCGAAAGACAACAGUAAAAAGACUUAAAGAAGCCAACUUUGAAAAUACUGAUAUAAUACAAGUUACUGGACACAAGAAUGUGCAAAGUUUAAACUCAUAUUGUACCGUACCCCAGAAAAUCAUGAAAAAAUGUCAGCAACCUUAACCACCUACAAUGCAGAGGCGAUCGAAGAAAACAAAGAAAAUUUGGACUUUCCAGACAUUCCAAGUCAUGAACUAGAAGAAAUUUUAAGCUGUGUCGAAGUGGUUGAGCAAUCACAGAAGGAAAACGUCUCAUACAACCCGAAAUCAUCUGAAAUUCAGCUCUCGUCUUCUCAUACACUAAAUAAGGCAUUAGGAAUGGGCACGUCGAUGCUUUCAGGCGCAAAUAUCAGUGGUGGUAAUUUUACAAUCAAUAUCAACUUUGGUAUCAAGUAACAAAUGAAAUGUAUUUGAAAAAGAGAACAUGUUAAAAAAAGUCAAUUUUAAAGUUAACUUUGAUAAAUUUGAUAACAUUUUGUUGACAGUUUCUGGAUAUGUCUGACAUUAAAUUAUUUUUUAUUAUGUUUCAAUUUCAUUAUGUGUAAAAAAAUUCACACUUAAAGUGCAUAUGAUGAAGUGUUUACUGUGUUGAAUAACUGAAAAGUCAUUUAAUAGUUGCAAUUAAAUUUGUUAAACAUCCUUUUUUCAGAAAGUGUUGAAAACUUACAGUGGAGUUUCAUUUGAUGAAUGUUUUAUUACAUCAAUUCAAUAACAAUUAUAAGACAUGUACAACAUUUUUUGUAAAUUUAUUUAAUUUAACACAAAUUAUUAACCUGUACAAAUUAUUUACUGCGUACGAAUUUGCACUUUGAAAUGCUGUUGAUACUGUGAUAUUCGGGCAUUUUAAUGUUGUUGCCUGGACGAAUUUUCACAGUGAUGUAUAAUGGAUUUAUUGUGAUAUUUGGGCAUUUUCAUUUGAUUUGUUGUUGCCGGGAAAAAGAAUCAGUUAUAUAUCAUUUAUUUUCUGUGAUAUUAUGACAUCAUCAUUUGCUAUGUUGUUGUCUUGAUAAAUUUGCACUUUUAUUAACAGAUAUAUCAUUGAUUAACUGUGAUAUAAAGGACGUUUUCAUUGGAUAUAUUGUUGCCUGGGCGAAUUUGCACUUUGAUUUGUCGUUGAUUAACUGAAAUAUGAGGACAUUUUAAUUUGAAAUGUUGUUGCCAUGUUUAAAUUGACUUUAAUGUUGUUGUUCCAUUGUCCAUGAAACAUUUGUGUUGUUUUAACAAUUGAGAAUCUAUAGUAAAAAAACAUUGAAACCUUGUUUUUCUGUUUUGUUU